AUUGAACGUUGGCGGCAGGCCUAACACAUGCAAGUCGAGCGAGCGGCGGACGGGUGAGUAAUGUCUGGGAAACUGCCUGAUGGAGGGGGAUAACUACUGGAAACGGUAGCUAAUACCGCAUACCAUCAGAUGUGCCCAGAUGGGAUUAGCUAGUAGGGGGGGGAACGGCUCACCUAGGCGACGAUCCCUAGCUGGUAUGAGAGGAGGACCAGCCACACUGGAACUGAGACACGGUCCAGACUCCUACGGGAGUCAGAAGGGGGGAAUAUGGCACAAUGGGCGCAAGCAGGAUGCGGCCAUGCCGCGUGUGUGAAGAAGGCCUUCGGGUUGUAAAGCACUUACAGCGGGGAGUCGUUACCCGCAGAAGAAGCACCGGCUAACUCCGUGCCAGCAGCCGCGGUAAUUC
rnacentral:rRNA from 1 species